CACAAUCCUGCAAUGAGGAAGUGAGGAAAAAGAGUGAAAACAGGAACCGUGAGCCAUUCCCUUUCUGUGCACUAUUUCUCCUCUCCCUUUUUGCAGUCCCUUCCAGCAUCAAGGCUUGGAGCCAUCUCCAGCAGCCUGUGCCCUCCUUGGGCUGAGAGCAUGAACAGUUUGCCGGUGAUAAAUGCCGGUCUCCCCGCCCAGAGCCCCGGGGUCUGUUCUGCAUCCGAGCCCCAGCAAACAGAGACUCCGUGGCUGAGGAUUCCUGCAGUGGAAAGGCAGCAGUUUCAGCAGCUCAAGAGGCUUCCCCAGGCUGGAGCCCCUCCUGGUGCACCCAGAGUUCUCCACCCCAGGUUCCAGACCUGCAGCGUGUCAGGGUCACCCCUCAGCUCUGCUGGGAAAACAUCCCUGGAGCUGCUGCUGCAGCCAAAAUCCCCUUCCCCAGAAGCUGGGAGUGCCUGAGCAUCAUCUGGGCCAGUGCAAGUGAUGGUUUCUUUAUCACUUGGUGGAAUUUUUUGGGUAGGUUUCUUUUUUUGGUUGGUUCUCCUUUUGUUUUCCCCCAUAGUGAACUGUUACAGGGAAAGGAGGAGGAAGUAGGGGGACAUUCAGAUUUGCAGAAUUUGUCUUCCCAUGUCACUGUUACACGUGAGGGAGCCCUGCUCUCUCCCCAUGGCUCAGCACUUUCCCACCCAUGGGAAGGAGAGAAUUAAUCCCUUAUUUUGCUUGGCUUGUGGGCCGGUUCUUCUUUAUUUAUUAAACUGUCUUUAACUCA